UUCGUUCAUUUCCCCUCACACUUUUGUUCUCCAUCUUCCUCACUUUCUCGCCCCCGUAUUGAUGCUCUAGAUCUCUUCGAUUUCCUGUUCUUAUCAGUAUUCGGGCUCCUGAUUACGAUCGGCGUGUCGGUCGGUAGAUUCAGAUCCGCGAUCGCUACCGGACUCUUCGACCGCUUUUUGAGUCCUUGACGGUUAUUCGAAUUCGGUGAAGAUGAACGGAUUCGUCCGCCGGCGAUGGAUCGAUUGAAGACAUUAGGAACGAUGGAGGAAGGAAAUUUAAAAGAAAAUUACUCUGAUCUUAUUGGUGAUUCAACACGUUCUGAACCAGUGGCUUCUAAUGCUGCUUGGUGGCACUCAGAUAUUGCAGAAAAUUUAAAGUCUGUUUCUUUGGCUCCACGAGGAGAAACUUUGACUACUGGAGGGUUUCCAUGUGAUGUAUGGCAAGCUGAAUACUCAUCUCAGGCUGCUUCUCAAAUAUUGUGGUCCACUGGAACUUAUUCAGGAUUGAUACCGAAUGGCUUCUAUUCUAUCAUUCCAGAUAAGAAACUUAAGGAGCUUUUUGACACUAUUCCAUCUCCCGAUGGGCUUUAUUCUCUUGGUAUGGAAGGGUCUAAGGCUGACAUAAUUCUUGUAGAUGCAGAAAAGGACAAGAAACUCUGCAUGUUGAAGCAGUUAAGUGCGGCCAUGGUGAAAGGACUAUAUGCGAAUCCUGCUUUAAUAAUAAAAAAGAUUGCUGGCUUGGUCUUUGACUUCUAUAAGCGUCCAAAUUCAGAUCUGAGUCCUGCAAAAGCUGCAGUAGAAGAUGUUUCUCAUUUGAUGGAUAAUAGAGGCAUCCAACUGCUUGGACAGAUUAGGCAGGGAUCAUGCCGGCCUCGAGCAAUUUUGUUUAAAGUUCUAGCAGAUGCUGUUGGUCUUGAGAGCAAACUUGUGGUGGGUCUACCUAAUGAUGGUGGUGUCAAAUGCAUAGACUCAUUCAAGCAUAUGUCUGUGGUAGUUGUGCUGAAUUCUGUGGAGCUACUUGUGGAUCUUAUGCGCUAUCCUGGACAGUUGAUUCCAUUUUCAACCAAGGCGAUAUUUAUAUCCCAUAUUUCUGCAGCAGGGGAGAGCGACUCUGCUGAGUAUGACUCUUGUGAUUCUCCUCUCGAACCCAACAGUCCAUUAUAUGGGCUCUCAGACAAAGUGGAAGCUGCAGGUUCAGAGCACAAUGAAACUCUCCAAUCUUUGUAUCAGCGGAGAGCUGACCCAUCAUCUAGCCUGCUUGAUCAUUCACUGCGUAGGGUCAUGCUGAGAUCAACAACUUUUGCUGAGGGAAAUUUAAGUGAACCAGACAUUGCAAAUGCUUUUUGGAGGCGCAGCAGGAGGAAAGUUGUUGCUGGACGUACAGCUAGUUCAAGCCCAGAGCAUCCUCUAUGUAGAACACGAGGACGGUCCAUGCUUGGUAGCGAUAGACAGUCAUUUAGAGAAUAUGCAGAUGGUGUAACCAUUUCAAGGUCAGAUGGUGCUUCAACAUCUGAUGCUCGUAGAAUGCGGAGAAGAAGCAUUAGCAUUACACCCAAAAUUGGGGAUGAUAUUGUGAGGACUGUUCGAGCAAUGAAUGAAACUUUAAAACAAAAACGUUUCCUGAGAGAUCAUGUUGUUGAAGCUUCAGGUUCAUUCUCUAUGAAUGAUAAACACAGGUUGAAUGAUCCAUCAAGUAAUGAUGAAGCAUCUGGAAGACUUUCUAGUACAUGUAAUAAUUUCAGAAAGCAAACAGGUUCGACUCAGAAGGCUAUAUCAUUGCCUUCAUCUCCUCAUGUAUAUAGGGGUGAAACUUCAGAUAUAAGUGGGGAUUUUCUAAGAACAGAAGUCAUGGAGUCAAAAUGGAACAAAAUUUUGCAGUCAUCUUCCCUUCUGAAUAAGCCUUUGCUACCCUUUGAUGAAUGGAACAUUGUAUUCUCAGAGUUAACUGUUGGGACACGUGUUGGAAUAGGAUUCUUUGGGGAAGUUUUCCGUGGCAUAUGGAAUGGUACUGAUGUUGCAAUAAAAGUGUUUCUAGAACAAGAUAUGACAACUGAGAACAUGGAAGACUUUUGCAAUGAGAUAUCCAUACUAAGCCGUCUUCGGCAUCCUAAUGGUAAUGAUUUUCUACUGCCAGAUAGUGAUUUGGGAGUUAUAUUAUUUCUUGGUGCAUGCAUGAAGCCUCCACACCUGUCAUUGAUUACAGAAUACAUGGAGAUGGGAUCUUUAUAUUAUCUUAUACAUACGAGUGGUCAGAAAAAGAGACUAAGUUGGCGUAAGAGAUUAAAGAUGCUUCGUGAUAUUUGCAGGGGGCUGAUGUGCAUACAUCGUAUGAAAAUAGUACAUCGUGAUCUAAAAAGUGCAAAUUGUCUUGUGGAUAAACAUUGGACAGUUAAGAUUUGUGAUUUUGGUCUUUCGCGAGUAAUGAAAGCUGGUCCAAUGAGAGAUAACUCCUCUGCGGGAACCCCAGAAUGGAUGGCUCCUGAACUCAUACGCAAUGAACCAUUUACAGAGAAAUGCGAUAUAUUUAGCCUCGGAGUCAUAAUGUGGGAACUUUGCACUCUGAAUAGGCCAUGGGAAGGCAUGACACCUGUUCAGGUGGUGUAUGCCAUUGCUAAUGAAGGGAAAAGGUUGGUUAUACCUGAAGGUCCUCUCAGCAGCCUAAUUUCCGACUGCUGGGCAGAACCUGAUGAGCGACCAAGCUGUCAGGAAAUCCUCACCCGCCUGCUUGACUGCGAAUACUCUCUCUGCUGAUGUUUUAUGUUGACGGUGACAUGUUAUAGCUGGUUAUUUGAUCAUCUGUACAGAAACAGAGACAUCUUUCUCCCAGAGUGCGCCUCCUGUUCCCGUCCUAAACAAGGCUCACCUCCUUUGUAUGUAGAUUGGCCAGGUUCUUCCUUGGACGGUAUAAUUCAAAGAGGCCUGGCCUUGGCUUUAAAGAAGUUUGGGCUUUGACUGUAGAUGACUAUCAGAAAAAGAGUGUCGUCUUCAAGCUUCAACUUUAUAAAUCCCGGAUCGGACUGGGAAAUCAGAUUCUUGACAGAUUUGAUUACUAGUUAGACCAUUUGAUUCUUAAAAGAAAAAAAAAAAGCCCUUUAAUUUAUAAAAGUUAUCGAAGGGGUCAAGUCUAGACUCGACCAAAUCGGUAUUUGGUUCCAUUUUGGUUAGUUAUGCUUUCACCCCGUCGAUGC